rnacentral:rRNA from 1 species
CCCUUAGAUGUUCUGGGCCGCACGCGCGCUACACUGACGAAUGCAACGAGCUUAUAACCUUGGCCGAAAGGUCUGGGUAAUCUCCAAAUUUCGUCGUGAUGGGGAUAGAUUAUUGCAAUUAUUAAUCUUCAACGAGGAAUGCCUAGUAAGCGCAAGUCAUCAGCUUGCGUUGAUUACGUCCCUGCCCUUUGUACACACCGCCCGUCGCUCCUACCGAUUGAAUGGUCCGGUGAAGCGUUCGGACCGUGGCCUUUGGACGGUUCGCCGUCUGUUGGCUGCGGGAAGUUCGUUAAACCUUAUCACUUAGAGGAAGGAGAAGUCGUANCA